GACGAACGCUGGCGGCGUGCCUAAUACAUGCAAGUCGAACGCAGUGGGGACGGGUGAGUAGCACGUGGGUAACCUCCCAUCAGAGGGGAUAACACUUGGCAACAGGUGCUAAACCGAUAUGGGUGGAUGGACCCGCGGUGCAUGAGCUUGUUGGUGAGGUAACGGCUCACCAAGGCCAGGAUGCAUAGACGACCUGAGAGGAUGAGCGGCCACACUGGGACGGAGACACGGCCCAGACUCCUACGGGAGGCAGCAGUAGGGAAUCUGGGACAAUGGGCGAAAGCCUGAGCGAGCAAUGCCGCGUGAGUGAAGAAGGUCUUCGGAUCGUAAAACGCGGUUAGUAGAGAAGCGGUAUCUAACCAGAAAGCAACGGCUAACUACGUGCCAGCAGCCGCGGUAAUUC
rnacentral:rRNA from 1 species